rnacentral:rRNA from 1 species
CAGCCGCCGCGGUAAUACGGAGGGAGCUAGCGUUGUUCGGAAUCACUGGGCGUAAAGCGCACGUAGGCGGCUAUUCAAGUCAGGGGUGAAAGCCCGGGGCUCUACCCCGGAACUGCCUUUGAAACUAGAUAGCUUGAAUCUUGGAGAGGCGAGUGGAAUUCCGAGUGUAGAGGUGAAAUUCGUAGAUAUUCGGAAGAACACCAGUGGCGAAGGCGACUCGCUGGACAAGUAUUGACGCUGAGGUGCGAAAGCGUGGGGAGCAAACAGGAUUAGAUACCCGCGUAGUCCCUGUCUCUUAUAC